CGUACGAGAAAGUCUCUUCGGAGAUGAGUAAAGUGGCGCACGGGGUGAGUAACGCGUGGGUAAUCUGCCCUUAGGUUUGGGAUAACCCCGGGAAACCGGAGCUAAUACCGAAUGAGACCACGAUGACUUCGGUCGAUGUGGGAAAAGGUGGCCUCUUCUUGAAAGCUAUCGCCAAAGGAUGAGCCCGCGUUUGAUUAGCUAGUUGGUGAGGUAAUGGCUCACCAAGGCGACGAUCAAUAGCUGGUCUGAGAGGAUGAUCAGCCACACUGGAACUGAGAUACGGUCCAGACUCCUACGGGAGGCAGCAGUCAGGAAUAUUGGGCAAUGGGCGAAAGCCUGACCCAGCAACGCCGCGUGAAGGAUGAAGGCCUUCGGGUCGUAAACUUCUGUCGAGAGGGAAGAAUGCGUACAGGUGAAUAAUCCGUGCGUUUGAUGGUACCUCCAAAGGAAGCACCGGCUAACUCCGUGCCAGCAGCCGCGGUAAUACGGAGGGUGCAAGCGUUGUUCGGAUUCAUUGGGCGUAAAGCGAGUGUAGGCGGUUUGACAAGUCGGAUGUGAAAUCCCGGGGCCCAACCCCGGAACUGCAUCCGAUACUGUCUGGCUAGAGUCCCGGAGAGGGUGGCGGAAUUCCCGGUGUAGGGGUGAAAUCCGUAGAUAUCGGGAGGAACACCAGUGGCGAAGGCGGCCACCUGGACGGUGACUGACGCUGAGACUCGAAAGCGUGGGUAGCAAACAGGAUUAGAUACCCUGGUAGUCCACGCUGUAAACGGUGAGUGCUCGUCGUCGUGGCUAUUGACCCCUGCGGUGACCAAGUU
rnacentral:rRNA from 1 species